rnacentral:rRNA from 1 species
AACUGUAUGUUAUUACUUACAGCGCUUUCUGCUCCAUGAUAUUAAAUAGCCGCAGUACCUUGACUGUGCAAAGGUAGCAUAAUCAGUUGGCUUAUAAUUGAAGUCUAGAAUGAAUGAAUAUACGGGUAGCCACUGUCUCAACUGGUAUUAACAUGAAGUUGGUAAUAAAGUGCAAAUACUUGAACAUAUAAAAUAGACGAGAAGACCCUAGAAACUUUAUAAUUUUGUUGGGGCAACAGAGUAACAUAGUAAAUUUACUUUACACACAUGACGCGUUGAUGAAAGAGCAAGUUACUCUAGGGAUAACAGCAUAAUUAAUAAUAGUUUGUGACCUCGAUGUUGGACUAGGUAUUGACGUUUCUAGAAGAUACGUGUUACUGCUCUGUUCGAGCACGCAGCACCUACAU